AGAAAGAUAGUACACUGGAUGCUGCUGAAGAAAUCAUUAAGGCAUGGACUAGACAGAAGUCUUGAUACAAGUGGACUGUUUCUAUUAGAUGACCUAAUAUAGAAUUAUUAUUUAAUGCUGCCAUCUGCUGGAUUUUGAAAACAAGUAUUUUGGUACCAAUGAAAUUUGAAGAAAUAUUUCCAUUGUUUUCCAAAAUGUUAAUCCCACUGGGGUUUUUUUGUUUUGUUGUUUUUCAGUUGAAAUAUAUGAAAACACCUACCACUACCAUUUUACAUCAGGCAGUGUAUCAUUGUGGAUAAGAAUUGUGAGAUCCUGGUUUAUGCUUAACCUCUCAGUGCUUCAGUUCCCUCAUCGGAAAUAAAAUAUAGCACCUACUUUACGACACCUGGCUGGCUCAAGGUUAAAAAGCUAAGCUUUCCAGCUUCUCUUACAACUAAUCGAAAGUGCCUGAGAAGAGCUUCCAUUCAUGGAAAAAGAUAAAAGGCAAAGUCAUCCUGAGACUUUUUGUCUUUUUUGUCCUCUUCACCUUUCUAACUUCUUCCUGCCUGGAAUGUAGAAGCAAGGUCUGGAGAUACUGCAGCCAUACUGCAUUCAUGCAGCAACUGGCGAGAGAGUGAAGGCCUACAGGAUAAGGAUGGCAGAGCAGAAAGAUGAGAAGAGACUGGGACCCGAGCAGAAAUUUGGAGCCACAGUACCUACCCCCAGACUUUGUAAUGCAUGAAACAAAUAAACCUCUAUUUGUUUAAGUCA